AUAUCCAGAGAACUUGGCAGAGAUGCCUUGGUGCCUUCGGGACCUCUGAGACAGGUGCUGCAUGGCUGUCGUCAGCUCGUGUUGUGAAAUGUUGGGUUAAGUCCCGNAACGAGCGCAACCCCUAUCCUUUGUUGCCAGCGAUUCGGUCGGGAACUCAAAGGAGACUGCCGGUGAUAAACCGGAGGAAGGUGGGGAUGACGUCAAGUCAUCAUGGCCCUUACGAGUAGGGCUACACACGUGCUACAAUGGCGCAUACAAAGAGAAGCGACCUCGCGAGAGCAAGCGGACCUCAUAAAGUGCGUCGUAGUCCGGAUCGGAGUCUGCAACUCGACUCCGUGAAGUCGGAAUCGCUAGUAAUCGUAGAUCAGAAUGCUACGGUGAAUACGUUCCCGGGCCUUGUACACACCGCCCGUCACACCAUGGGAGUGGGUUGCAAAAGAAGUAGAUAGCUUAACCUUCGGGAGGGCGUUUACCACUUUGUGAUUCAUGACUGGGGUGAAGUCGUAACAAGGUAGGCGUAGCGAG
rnacentral:rRNA from 1 species